rnacentral:rRNA from 1 species
UACGAAGGUGGCUAGCGUUGUUCGGAAUUACUGGGCGUAAAGCGCAUGUAGGCGGAUUGGUAAGUCGGGGGUGAAAGCCCAGAGCUCAACUCUGGAACUGCCUUCGAUACUGGCGGUCUCGAGCAGAGAAGAGGCGAGUGGAAUUCCGAGUGUAGAGGUGAAAUUCGUAGAUAUUCGGAGGAACACAAGUGGCGAAGGCGGCUCGCUGGUCUCUUGCUGACGCUGAGACGCGAAAGCGUGGGGAGCAAACAGG